rnacentral:rRNA from 1 species
AACGACUCUCGACAACGGAUAUCUCGGCUCUCGCAUCGAUGAAGAACGUAGCGAAAUGCGAUACUUGGUGUGAAUUGCAGAAUCCCGUGAACCAUCGAGUCUUUGAACGCAAGUUGCGCCCGAAACCACUAGGUUGAGGGCACGUCUGCCUGGGUGUCACGC